UGGGGAAUAUUGGGCAAUGGGCGAAAGCCUGACCCAGCAACGCCGCGUGAAGGAAGAAGGCCCUCGGGUUGUAAACUUCUUUUAUCAGGGACGAAAAAAAUGACGGUACCUGAUGAAUAAGCCACGGCUAACUACGUGCCAGCAGCCGCGGUAAUACGUAGGUGGCAAGCGUUAUCCGGAUUUACUGGGUGUAAAGGGCGUGUAGGCGGGACUGCAAGUCAGAUGUGAAAACUAUGGGCUCAACCCAUAGCCUGCAUUUGAAACUGUGGUUCUUGAGUGAUGGAGAGGCAGGCGGAAUUCCGUGUGUAGCGGUGAAAUGCGUAGAUAUACGGAGGAACACCAGUGGCGAAGGCGGCCUGCUGGACAUUAACUGACGCUGAGGCGCGAAAGCGUGGGGAGCAAACAG
rnacentral:rRNA from 1 species